UACGUAGGGUGCGAGCGUUAAUCGGAAUUACUGGGCGUAAAGUGUGCGCAGGCGGCCGAGCAAGUCGAGUGUGAAAGCCCCGGGCUUAACUUGGGAAUUGCGCUCGAAACUACUUGGCUGGAGUGUGGCAGAGGAAGGUGGGAUUCCAGGUGUAGCGGUGAAAUGCGUAGAGAUCUGGAGGAACACCGAUGGCGAAGGCAGCCUUCUGGGCCAACACUGACGCUCAUGCACGAAAGCGUGGGGAGCAAACAGG
rnacentral:rRNA from 1 species